UACGUAGGGUGCAAGCGUUGUCCGGAAUUACUGGGUGUAAAGGGUGCGCAGGCGGAUCCGUGCGUCAGAGGUUAAAUAUCCCGGCUUAACCGGGAAAGUGCCUUUGAUACGGCGGAUCUUGAAUAUGAGAGAGGAUGAUAGAAUUCCUGGUGUAGCGGUGAAAUGCGUAGAUAUCAGGAGGAAUACCGGUGGCGAAGGCGGUCAUCUGGCUCAUUAUUGACGCUCAGGCACGAAAGCGUGGGGAUCAAACAGG
rnacentral:rRNA from 1 species